CUACGGAGGGGACUAGCGUUGUUCGGAAUUACUGGGCGUAAAGAGUUCGUAGGCGGACUGAUAAGUAAGAGGUGAAAUCCCAGGGCUCAACCCUGGAACUGCCUUUUAAACUGUCAGUCUAGAGACCGGAAGAGGUUAGGGGAAUACCUAGUGUAGAGGUGAAAUUCGUAGAUAUUAGGUGGAACACCAGUGGCGAAGGCGCCUAACUGGUCCGGUACUGACGCUGAGGAACGAAAGCGUGGGGGGCAAACAGGAUUAGAAACCCCAGUAGUCC
rnacentral:rRNA from 1 species